GAACGGCGUCGUCUGGUUUUCCCUGAUUCGCGAAACAUGUACAAAUUCAAUCGCCAUUCUUCUUCUUUUCUUAUGCUACUAUCUGGAAGAUUCAAGUCUCAACAAAUCUGCCGCAUUCAUCGAUCUUGGGAGUGAAAAAUGUCAGGUAAAGCCAUCUUCUCUGCUUUUGUGGGAUCACUUGGCAUUGCAUAUGUGUGUGACUAUUUAAUUUCCGACAGGAAGAUUUUUGGAGGUAGCACUCCUUCUACUGUUUCGAACAAAGAAUGGGAGCUGGCUACCGACAAAAAGAUGCAAGCAUGGCCGCGAACCGCCGGUCCACCAGUGGUGAUGAACCCCAUCAGCCUCCAGAACUUCAUCGUCAAAGCCAACCUCGAUGAGUGAAUGCAGUCCUUUCACUUAGACCUCUUAUGCUUAAACAUGGCAUACAAUUUGUAGAGUGAACCUUUUGUGUUGAAAUUCUGCUGGUUGGUAUCUGAGUGUAGAUCUCCACUUUAUAUUGCUGAGUUUUUUCAAAUAAGUUUUCUAUGCUCUGACAUAUUUCUUGGAAUUUAUCUCAUCGUUGAAAGAAAUGAUUAUCUUUAUUUGGUCA